UACGUAGGGUGCAAGCGUUGUCCGGAAUUAUUGGGCGUAAAGAGCUCGUAGGCGGUUUGUCGCGUCGGCUGUGAAAACUCGGGGCUCAACCCCGAGCCUGCAGUCGAUACGGGCAGACUAGAGUGCUGUAGGGGAGACUGGAAUUCCUGGUGUAGCGGUGAAAUGCGCAGAUAUCAGGAGGAACACCGGUGGCGAAGGCGGGUCUCUGGGCAGUAACUGACGCUGAGGAGCGAAAGCGUGGGGAGCAAACAGG
rnacentral:rRNA from 1 species